rnacentral:rRNA from 1 species
CUCAUUAAAUCAGUUAUAGUUUAUUUGAUGGUCUCUUUUGUCUUUUUUUACCUACUUGGAUAACCGUGGUAAUUCUAGAGCUAAUACAUGCGCAAGGUCCCGAGCGCGGGGGGCAGGGCUUCACGGCCCUGUCCUCGCAUGCGCAGAGGGAUGUAUUUAUUAGGUUAAACAACCAGCAUUUUCAAUCAUCUGGUGAUUCAUAGUAACUCUUUCGGAUCGCAUUCAUG